rnacentral:rRNA from 1 species
AGACCCGAAACCCGGUGAUCUAGCCAUGGGCAGGUUGAAGGUUGGGUAACACUAACUGGAGGACCGAACCGACUAAUGUUGAAAAAUUAGCGGAUGACCUGUGGCUGGGGGUGAAAGGCCAAUCAAACCGGGAGAUAGCUGGUUCUCCCCGAAAGCUAUUUAGGUAGCGCCUCGUGAAUUCAUCUCCGGGGGUAGAGCACUGUUUCGGCUAGGGGGCCAUCCCGGCUUACCAACCCGAUGCAAACUGCGAAUACCGGAGAAUGUUAUCACGGGAGACACACGGCGGGUGCUAACGUCCGUCGUGAAGAGGGAAACAACCCAGACCGCCAGCUAAGGUCCCAAAGUCAUGGUUAAGUGGGAAACGAUGUGGGAAGGCCCAGACAGCCAGGAUGUUGGCUUAGAAGCAGCCAUCAUUUAAAGAAAGCGUAAUAGCUCACUGGUCGAGUCGGCCUGCGCGGAAGAUGUAACGGGGCUAAACCAUGCACCGAAGCUGCGGCAGCGACACUCAGGUGUUGUUGGGUAGGGGAGCGUUCUGUAAGCCUGUGAAGGUGUGUCGUGAGG